AACUGAUACUACCUGCGGGAACCUGCGGAAGGAUCAUUACCGAGUUAGGGUAGUCACUCACUGCCCGACCUCCCGACCCUGUGUCUACCACACUUUGUCGUUGCUUCGGCGGACCGGUUGACCAACUGGUCGUGACCGCCGGGGGCUGGCUCUGUCCCCCCUGGAGAGCGUCCGUCGAUGGCCCAACCACAAAACUCUUGUACCGAAACGUGUCGUCUGAAUUAUAUUUGAGAAAUCAAA
rnacentral:misc_RNA from 1 species